rnacentral:rRNA from 1 species
UACGAAGGGGGCGAGCGUUGUUCGGAUUUACUGGGCGUAAAGGGCGCGCAGGCGGCUCUGCAAGUCAGAUGUGAAAGCCCCGGGCUUAACCUGGGAACUGCAUUUGGGACUGUAGAGCUAGAGAUCGGGAGAGGAGAGUGGAAUUCCCAGUGUAGAGGUGAAAUUCGUAGAUAUUGGGAAGAACACCGGUGGCGAAGGCGGCUCUCUGGACCGAUACUGACGCUGAGGCGCGAAAGCGUGGGGAGCAAACAGG